rnacentral:misc_RNA from 1 species
AGUCGUUCAAUACAAAGCCAAGGCCCAAUAUGCCGAAGUAGGCUAGAAAUAAGAAUAGUAGCUACACAACCCAACCCAUUAUAGAGUCCAAUAGCUCAAAGAAAACCCUAAACUAAAUAGGGUUGUAGACCAAGUUGCCAGCAACAUUAUACCCAUUCACUGUCAAUCAUAAUGGUAGGCGGUCAUCAGGAGAGCAUUAGGAGAGCAAGAUGAGAACCUCCAUCACUUAAACAAGAAUGGAUCCAAAGUUGAAGCACAAACCUAAACAAGGUAGAAGGAGGAGAUCCAUCACCUAGUCAACCACCAAUCCACACAGCGUAGUAUUGUUAUUCUGCUCCAGAGACUUAUGGGAGAAGUCACAGAGAAGGAGAAGGAAGAGUCCAAAAGGCCUCUCAAUCUCUUAGAGGGGGCAAUCACUGAGAAGACUUGGACCAACUCUUAAAACCCUCAGGAUGACCUCCUCCUCUUUUUACAGCAACUAAAACACAUUCCACACAGUCAAAACACACACCCGUUUAAGGACAUGCAGACUUAACGAAGCCAAGCAGAUCAUCCAAAGGCCCUUCUCCAAGACAUCAUAGGAUACCAAAACUAGCCAUUUACGACCCAUCCCAAAAGUAGGAAGGGAGGAACCCACUUCUAGGCAAAGGAAAAGCCCCUUUUGCCCAUAAGGGGCAGAGGAGGCCAUGGAUUCGAUGGAGGAAAAGGAUAGUAACCUUAAAAACAAUGGAAGAGAUGAGAUAAAACUCUCUUUCUAAAUUAGAGAUGAGUUUUUCUUGCUUGUAUUUCUUUCACUCAUGCCAUCUAUUUUCUAGUGUGGGAAUUCUAACUCACACUUACUUGUAUUUUUUCCUCUCGACAAAUCUAAUUCUAACUCACACAUACUUGUAUUUUUUCCUCUCAACAUAUCUCCCUCUCAAGCAUGAGUCCCUUCCAUAAUGGGCUUAUUAGGUCUACUUCCCCUU